GACGAACGCUGGCGGCGUGCUUAACACAUGCAAGUCGAACGGCAAGGCCCUGCUUUUGUGGGGUGCCCGAGUGGCGAACGGGUGAGUAACACGUGUGUAACCUGCCCUUGACUUUGGGAUAACUUCAGGAGACUGGGGCUAAUACCGGAUAGGAGCUCCUGCUGCUUGGUGGGGGUUGGAAAGUUUCGGCUGGUGGGGAUGGACUCGCGGCUUAUCAGCUUGUUGGUGGGGUAGUGGCUUACCAAGGCUUUGACGGGUAGCCGGCCUGAGAGGGUGACCGGCCACAUUGGGACUGAGAUACGGCCCAGACUCGUACGGGAGGCAGCGGUGGGGAAUAUUGCACAAUGGGCGGAAGCCUGAUGCAGCAACGCCGCGUGCGGGAUGACGGCCUUCGGGUUGUAAACCGCUUUCGCCUGUGACGAAGCGUGAGUGACGGUAAUGGGUAAAGAAGCACCGGCUAACUACGUG
rnacentral:rRNA from 1 species